rnacentral:rRNA from 1 species
UACGAAAGGGGCUAGCGUUGUUCGGAAUUACUGGGCGUAAAGCGCACGUAGGCGGCCAUGUAAGUUGGGGGUGAAAUCCCGGGGCUCAACCCCGGAACUGCCUUCAAAACUACAUAGCUAGAGGACGUGAGAGGAUAGUGGAAUUCCGAGUGUAGAGGUGAAAUUCGUAGAUAUUCGGAAGAACACCGGUGGCGAAGGCGACUGUCUGGCACAUUUCUGACGCUGAGGUGCGAAAGCUAGGGGAGCAAACGGG